CCUACGGGGGCUGCAGUGGGGAAUAUUGGACAAUGGGGGCAACCCUGAUCCAGCCAUGCCGCGUGUGUGAAGAAGGCCCUCGGGUUGUAAAGCACUUUCAGUGAGGAAGAACGCCUGGUGGUUAAUACCCAUCAGGAAAGACAUCACUCACAGAAGAAGCACCGGCUAACUCCGUGCCAGCAGCCGCGGUAAUACGGAGGGUGCGAGCGUUAAUCGGAAUUACUGGGCGUAAAGCGCGCGUAGGUGGCUUGAUAAGCCGGUUGUGAAAGCCCCGGGCUCAACCUGGGAACGGCAUCCGGAACUGUCAAGCUAGAGUGCAGGAGAGGAAGGUAGAAUUCCCGGUGUAGCGGUGAAAUGCGUAGAGAUCGGGAGGAAUACCAGUGGCGAAGGCGGCCUUCUGGACUGACACUGACACUGAGGUGCGAAAGCGUGGGUAGCAAACAGGAUUAGAUACCCGAGUAGUC
rnacentral:rRNA from 1 species